AGUGGCGGACGGGUGAGUAAUGUCUGGGAAACUGCCUGAUGGAGGGGGAUAACUACUGGAAACGGUAGCUAAUACCGCAUAACGUCGCAAGACCAAAGAGGGGGACCUUCGGGCCUCUUGCCAUCGGAUGUGCCCAGAUGGGAUUAGCUAGUAGGUGGGGUAACGGCUCACCUAGGCGACGAUCCCUAGCUGGUCUGAGAGGAUGACCAGCCACACUGGAACUGAGACACGGUCCAGACUCCUACGGGAGGCAGCAGUGGGGAAUAUUGCACAAUGGGCGCAAGCCUGAUGCAGCCAUGCCGCGUGUAUGAAGAAGGCCUUCGGGUUGUAAAGUACUUUCAGCGGGGAGGAAGGCGAUAAGGUUAAUAACCUCGUCGAUUGACGUUACCCGCAGAAGAAGCACCGGCUAACUCCGUGCCAGCAGCCGCGGUAAUACGGAGGGUGCAAGCGUUAAUCGGAAUUACUGGGCGUAAAGCGCACGCAGGCGGUCUGUCAAGUCGGAUGUGAAAUCCCCGGGCUCAACCUGGGAACUGCAUUCGAAACUGGCAGGCUAGAGUCUUGUAGAGGGGGGUAGAAUUCCAGGUGUAGCGGUGAAA
rnacentral:rRNA from 1 species